GAGCGAAACCACCCCGGCCUACCGGGGCGGUCUGCCAGGCGUGGUUACCUGGUACUGAUGAGCAGCCACCC
rnacentral:hammerhead_ribozyme from 1 species